UGGUUCAACUGAUUUGAAGAGCUUGCUCAGAUAUGACGAUGGACAUUGCAAAGAGUGGCGAACGGGUGAGUAACACGUGGGAAACCUACCUCUUAGCAGGGGAUAACAUUUGGAAACAGAUGCUAAUACCGUAUAACAAUAGCAACCGCAUGGUUGCUACUUAAAAGAUGGUUCUGCUAUCACUAAGAGAUGGUCCCGCGGUGCAUUAGUUAGUUGGUGAGGUAAUGGCUCACCAAGACGAUGAUGCAUAGCCGAGUUGAGAGACUGAUCGGCCACAAUGGGACUGAGACACGGCCCAUACUCCUACGGGAGGCAGCAGUAGGGAAUCUUCCACAAUGGGCGAAAGCCUGAUAGAGCAACGCCGCGUGUGUGAUGAAGGGUUUCGGCUCGUAAAACACUGUUGUAAGAGAAGAAUGACAUUGAGAGUAACUGUUCAAUGUGUGACGGUAUCUUACCAGAAAGGAACGGCUAAAUACGUG
rnacentral:rRNA from 1 species